rnacentral:lncRNA from 1 species
CCCCAGGUGGGAUCAGCCCCUCCAAGGUCCUGUGGGCUGAGCUCCAACACAGGCCCCUCCAGCAUCUGCAGCCCAGGUGGGUGAGGACAACUGAGGUCGAGGCUCUUUGCUCAGAGGCUAUUCCUAGAGAUGCAAUAGCUAUGGCUGGCUUCCAGGUCGCUCGAGAGCCUUCCUGGGAACCUCUGACACUGCCGUGUGUAUGAAAGUUCUAAAUACUCUGUGUUCCCCUCUUCACUGUCUCUGUAGCUUAUCAAGGGCAACUUGCUGAGAUUGAGCUCUUAGAAAUUCCACAGCACUGGAUGGGCUCUGAGUUUGCUAUUUAUGACCUUCAUUUCCCACCUGCCCUCCACCUGGGCCUUCUCCUGCCUCUCUUGUCCCCAUGCUUAGUGGCAGGCUCCUAUGAAGGGAAGGCCAAGCCCUAGAAAUGCCGUGGUGUUAGAAAACUCUGGGGCUACACUGGGAUCAUGGCCCAGCUCAGCCCUCUGUCAGCUGGGUGACCUCAAGCAGGUGCCUGGACUGCUCUGAGCCUCAGUUGUUCCCUUUGUAAAAUGUGAAUGAUAAUAAGAAGCAGACCUCACGGGGCUGAAGUUUAAGGUUAUCUGUAGAGAACACCCGGACUGGAGCACAAAGUGGGCCCUCAGUGCUAGAGCGUGUGACCAUCACAGGUUAGGCCACGUGUAGGUGGAGCCAUAUGAAAUGGUCCUUUGGUAGGUUUACACUGGUCACCGGUCAGCAGUUUAAGGGGUUUCAACCGAGUUUCUAUUGAGCAGUCACUGUGGGCAGACACUGGGCUCUGCCAGUGUCCCCUGGGUAAUGGCACAUGGGUGUGGAUGCUGGGAGGGGCAAUUCCACAGCAGGCAGAGAAGGGGGGCAGGGAGUCACACCCAGGCCUUGCCUGGCCUUUGGCCUCCCGGACACCAGAUGGGACUGCCACUCACCCCUCGCCCAGCUCUCUGUCCUCUGUACCUCCGUCCUCAGGGCCUGAUGACUCAGAGAGCCUGCAGGUGCACAGCCAGAGCUGCUGGAGUCCACCCCCUUCCUCUGCUGCCGCCAGCCUGGAGGAGCUUGCGGGGGUCCAGGUCCACCUCCCGGGCCCUCCGGCCUCCUCGGCCCCCUCCUGCCCCGGCCUCUGCUGGCCUCCUGAUUUCCUAUCCUGUGCCCCCCGCCUCCUUCCUGCCUCUCCCGGGGCGGGCUCAGGCCUGGCACCACUCCAGAACGGCUUAAUCAGAACAAAUCCUGAGAAAACACAUGUAUUAUUUAUUCCCGCAAAGGUUAAAUAAUUUGAUGAAUUUCUCAGGACGCUGCCGGAAUGCUGAUGGCCUCUUGGAAAAAGAGAAAAGAGAAAACACAAACACAAACACACAGAAUGCAACAAAUCCACACACACACACACACACACAUGCACACCACCGCAGCUAUGACCACUUGCCCCAUGUUGGCUCAUGCAGGAGGCCAAGGGGGCAGCCCUCGGUGACUCUGGCACCCAGGCCCAGGAGGGGACAUAGAUUUCCUGCUCACUGACUGCAGAUGACAGCUCCCCCUACCUCCGCCUCUCGAGCGUGAUGCAUUAUCUGGAGGUGUCUGCGCCUUUGAUGCUGCAAAUGGCCACAGAAAGCCCGCUGAUUUACAGGCCAGAUGAUGCCUUGGCUUCAGUGGAGCUGUUUAUGAAGCCCCCCCAAGUGGGGCCACUGGGAUCAAGGAAGGGGCAUGGGGAGAAGGCUCCUGCUUGGGGCCUGGGGUGACGGGACCUCUUGGAGAUGGCCGCUAUGCAGAUGGGCUCUUCAGUGCAG